rnacentral:misc_RNA from 1 species
GAAAUGCGAUAAGUAAUGUGAAUUGCAGAAUUCAGUGAAUCAUCGAAUCUUUGAACGCACAUUGCGCUCGCCAGUAUUCUGGCGAGCAUGCCUGUUCGAGCGUCAUUUCAACCAUCAAGCUCUGCUUGCGUUGGGGAUCCGCGGCUGCCCGCGGUCCCUCAAAAACAGUGGCGGGCUCGCUAGUCACACCGAGCGUAGUAACUCUACAUCGCUAUGGUCGUGCGGCGGGUUCUUGCCGUAAAAUCCCCAAUUUCUAAGGUUGACCUCAGAUCAGGUAGGAAUACCCGCUGAACUUAAGC